rnacentral:misc_RNA from 1 species
AAGUCGUAACAAGGUUUCCGUAGGUGAACCUGCGGAAGGAUCAUUAAAGAGAAAGGGGCUUAAAAAACCCCGACCUCCAACCCUCUGUUGUUAAAACUACCUUGUUGCUUUGGCGGGACCGCUCGGUCUCGAGCCGCUGGGGAUUCGUCCCAGGAGAGCGCCCGCCAGAGUCCAACCAAACUCUUGUAUUAAACCAGUCGUCUGAGUGUAAAAUUUUAAUUAAAUUAAAA